AGUGAACGCUGGCGGUAGGCCUAACACAUGCAAGUCGAACGGCAGCACAGUAAGAGCUUGCUCUUACUGGUGGCGAGUGGCGUACGGGUGAGGAAUACAUCGGAAUCUACUUUUUCGUGGGGGAUAACGUAGGGAAACUUACGCUAAUACCGCAUACGACCUACGGGUGAAAGCAGGGGAUCUUCGGACCUUGCGCGAUUGAAUGAGCCGAUGUCGGAUUAGCUAGUUGGCGGGGUAAAGGCCCACCAAGGCGACGAUCCGUAGCUGGUCUGAGAGGAUGAUCAGCCACACUGGAACUGAGACACGGUCCAGACUCCUACGGGAGGCAGCAGUGGGGAAUAUUGGGCAAUGGGCGCAAGCCUGAUCCAGCCAUACCGCGUGGGUGAAGAAGGCCUUCGGGUUGUAAAGCCCUUUUGUUGGGAAAGAAAAGCAGCAGGUUAAUACCCCGCUGUUCUGACGGUACCCAAAGAAUAAGCACCGGCUAACUUCGUG
rnacentral:rRNA from 1 species